ensembl:lncRNA
GUGAGACGUCUAUUUCGAUAACGUUAAGGUUUACGGAAGGAGUCUCCGGUAUCGGAGGUAAAGACGAGGUAAAGAGGUAAAAGGAGUUUGCGCUCAUAUGCAAGCUGCGUUUAAUUUUUUAGAGAAAAAAGGGCGUAGUGUGAGAGGGGUAAAACACUUGGGGACUGCGGAGUGCUGAGAGGAGCUCAGUCACAGGGUUUGUGGUUCAGGACGGAAGGUUCGGUGCAGAGCUGCAGGACGGAGACGUGGAAACAUUAUUUAUUUAUUUAUUUAUUUAUUUAUUUAUUUAUUUAUUUAUUUAUUAGCGACCUUAGCGAAUGAAAUAAAUUUUCCAGACUGAACGCUCUGCUCUUUCUGAACUAAUUCUGGUUUUUUUUUCCUCCCGUUAUACUGCUCUAUAAUCUGGUCAAGUUUCUCUCCGACUGCAAAUUUAAUUCUAAUUAAAUAAUGAAGCGUUAAUUAGCAGCAAUAAAACUAAACCCACCCGAUGAUGAUGAUUAAGUCCUGAUCUGCAGAUCUGCGUGGUCGUCGUCUCGCGCUCUGUUCAAACGUAUAAAACUUUAUUACACCCCGCAGGAGGAAGUGACACACUGGCAGGGUUGGGGUUUUUUUUGUGUCCCCCCCGAGUUAUGGCCCCCUGGUGACAUUUUAAACGUUAUAGAACAGGACUUUAAAACUGUGAGAGCGGUUUAUAAAACUCCGAGUUAUUUAUCGCUUCCUCCAGCAGGCGAGCUUCACGUCCGCUGCAGGGUUUCUCACACCGAGUUCUGUUUAUUCCUAUUUUUAUUUUAAAGUUUUAUUUAGAAAUGUUAAAACGUCCUGCUUUUUAUUACAAAGACAGUGUUGCCAUGGCAACCGAGGCCAUUACCGGGUCAAUGACGGCCUGUUAUCGAGCGGCUCAGCUGACGUGAUAACAAGCCUUUUUUUUUUUUUUUUUUAACUUUUUCAUUUUGUACCUUUAUUCGGCUACAUUCAAGAGGAAGCUCACUUUCGCAUAAAAUUUACAUAUUUACAUAUAUUAGGAAUAUGCUAUAUGACAAAAAAAUCACAAAAGGUUGGCCAAGAAGCGUCUUGCAAAACUGCGUUUAAAGUGUUGUGUUUAAAGAAAAAUGUAAACAUAUCUAUAA